rnacentral:rRNA from 1 species
GAUGAACGCUGGCGGCGUGCUUAACACAUGCAAGUCGAACGGAGAUGCUAUGUGAGCGGAAGAUGCUUGCAUCCGACAAUCUUUUAGCAUCUUAGUGGCGGACGGGUGAGUAACGCGUGGGUAACCUGCCUUAUACCGGGGGAUAACACUUAGAAAUAGGUGCUAAUACCGCAUAAGCGCACAGUACCGCAUGGUACAGUGUGAAAAACUCCGGUGGUAUAAGAUGGACCCGCGUCUGAUUAGCUUGUUGGCGGGGUAAUGGCCUACCAAGGCGACGAUCAGUAGCCGACCUGAGAGGGUGAUCGGCCACAUUGGGACUGAGACACGGCCCAAACUCCUACGGGAGGCAGCAGUGGGGGGAUAUUGCACAAUGGAGGAAACUCUGAUGCAGCGACGCCGCGUGAGCGAAGAAGUAUUUCGGUAUGUAAAGCUCUAUCAGCAGGGAGAAGAAUGACGGUACCUGACUAAGAAGCA